rnacentral:tRNA from 1 species
GCUCCUGUAGCUCAGCUGGUAGCAGCGCCGGUUUCGUAAACCGGGGGUCGUCGGUUCGAGUCCGACCGGGAGCA